GCCAGACUCCUACGGGAGGCAGCAGUGGGGAAUAUUGCACAAUGGGGGAAACCCUGAUGCAGCGACGCCGCGUGAGUGAAGAAGUAUUUCGGUAUGUAAAGCUCUAUCAGCAGGGAAGAAGAAGGACGGUACCUGAGUAAGAAGCCCCGGCUAACUACGUGCCAGCAGCCGCGGUAAUACGUAGGGGGCAAGCGUUAUCCGGAUUUACUGGGUGUAAAGGGAGCGUAGACGGCAGUGCAAGUCUGAAGUGAAAGCCCCGGGCUUAACCCGGGAAUUGCUUUGGAAACUGUACGGCUGGAGUGCUGGAGAGGUAAGCGGAAUUCCUAGUGUAGCGGUGAAAUGCGUAGAUAUUAGGAGGAACACCAGUGGCGAAGGCGGCUUACUGGACAGUAACUGACGUUGAGGCUCGAAAGCGUGGGGAGCAAACAGGAUUAGAUACCCGUGUA
rnacentral:rRNA from 1 species